rnacentral:rRNA from 1 species
CCCGGAACUACGGAAUAACAUGAAGAAAUUUAUGCUAAUACCGUAUACGCCCUUUUGGGGAAAGAUUUAUUGGUUUCGGAUGAGCCCGCGUUGGAUUAGCUUGUUGGUAGGGUAAUGGCCUACCAAGGCGACGAUCCAUAGCUGGUCUGAGAGGAUGAUCAGCCACACUGGGACUGAGACACGGCCCAGACUCCUACGGGAGGCAGCAGUGGGGAAUAUUGGACAAUGGGCGCAAGCCUGAUCCAGCCAUGCCGCGUGAGUGAUGAAGGCCUUAGGGUUGUAAAGCUCUUUCACCGGUGAAGAUAAUGACGGUAACCGGAGAAGAAGCCCCGGCUAACUUCGUGCCAGCAGCCGCGGUAAUACGAAGGGGGCUAGCGUUGUUCGGAUUUACUGGGCGUAAAGCGCACGCAGGCGGAUAUUUAAGUCAGAGGUGAAAUCCCGGGGCUCAACCCUGGAAUUGCCUUUGAUACUGGGUAUCUGGAGUACAGAAGAGGUAAGUGGAAUUCCGAGUGUAGAGGUGAAAUUCGUAGAUAUUCGGAGGAACACCNGUGGCGAANGCGGCUUACUGGUCUGUUACUGANGCUGA